rnacentral:ncRNA from 1 species
AAAAAGUUUUAUUUUAGCUUAAAAAUUAAGUAUUAUUUUUUAUUAUAUGUAAAUUUUAUUAAAGAAUAGUUAGCAGUAUUUAAUAUUAUUUAUUUAGUAAAUUAAGAAUUAGAAAUAAUAUAUAUUAUAAACUAAAUUUGUGCCAGCAGUUGCGGUUAUACAAAUUAUAUAAAUUAAUUUUAUUAAUUUUAAUUAAUUUAAUAUUAAAUUUUAAAAUUAAAUUUAUUUAGUGAAAUUGUAAAUUUUAAAUAGAAUUUAAAUUUGAUAAUAAUGUUAAAAAAUUUUAGGUAUAGACUAGGAUUAGAUACCCUAUUAUUUAAAAUGUAAUAUAUUUAUUUAAUUAGUAUUAGUUAUGAUCUUGAAAAUUAAAAAUUUUGGCGGUAUUUUAAUCUAUUCAGAGGAACCUGUUCUAUAAAUGAUAGUCCACGAUUUAAUUUACUUUUAUUAUUAGUUUAUAUAUCGUCGUUGUUUAAAUAUUUUUAUAAAAUUAUAAUAUUUAAAAUUUUUAAUAAUAAAAUAUUUCAGAUCAAGGUAUAGUUUAUAUAAAAGAAGAAAUGGGUUACAAUAAUAAUAUUUUAGGAUUUUUAUUUUUAAAUUAUUUUGAAUGUGGAUUUGAUAGUAAUUUUAAUUAAAUUAUUAAGAUGAUUUUAGUACUAAAAUAUGUACAUAUUGCCCGUCGCUUUCAUUUAAUAUGAAAUAAGUCGUAACAAAGUAGAUUUACUGGAAAGUGAAUCUAGAAACAA